rnacentral:rRNA from 1 species
GACGAACGCUGGCGGCGUGCUUAACACAUGCAAGUCGAACGGAAAGGCCCUGCUUUUGUGGGGUGCUCGAGUGGCGAACGGGUGAGUAACACGUGAGUAACCUGCCCUUGACUUUGGGAUAACUUCAGGAAACUGGGGCUAAUACCGGAUAGGAGCUCCUGCUGCAUGGUGGGGGUUGGAAAGUUUCGGCGGUUGGGGAUGGACUCGCGGCUUAUCAGCUUGUUGGUGGGGUAGUGGCUUACCAAGGCUUUGACGGGUAGCCGGCCUGAGCGGGUGACCGGCCCCAUUGGAACUGGGAUACGACCCAGACUCCUACGGGAGGCAGCGGUGGGGAAUAUUGCACAGUGGGCGGAAGCCUGAUGCAACAACGCCGCGUGCGGGAUGACGGCCUUCGGGUUGUAAACCGCUUUCGCCUGUGACGAGGCGUGAGUGACGGUAAUGGGUAAAGAAGCACCGGCUAACUACGUG